UCAGAACGAACGCUGGCGGCAGGCUUAACACAUGCAAGUUGAACGGGAUUUGUGUGGUGCUUGCACUAGACAAUGAGAGUAGCGCACUGGUGAGUAACACGUGGGAACGUACCUUUUAGUGGGGGACAACAGUUGGAAACGACUGCUAAUACCGCAUACGCCCUGAGGGGGAAAGAUUUAUUGCUAAAAAGAUCGGCCCGCGGAAGAUUAGGUAGUUGGUGGGGUAAAGGCCUACCAAGCCGACGAUCUAUAGCUGGUCUGAGAGGACGAACAGCCACAUUGGAACUGAGGCACGGUCCAGACUCCUACGGGAGGCAGCAGUGAGGAAUAUUGGGCAAUGGAGGGAACUCUGAACCCCAGCCAUGCCGCGUGAGUGAGAAGGUCUUCGGAUUGUAAAGCUCUUUCGGAUGGGAAGAUGAUGACGGUACCAUCUAAAGAAGCCCCGGCAAACUUCGUGCCAGCCGCGGC
rnacentral:rRNA from 1 species